CCCCCGUAUGGGGGACCCUAUGGGAGCAGGGCUGAAGGAGCCAAUGGGCCUCAGCUCGUCCCACUGAUCCCAGCUCUGCUCAGGUCGGGUGGCCUCUCUCUCUCGGUUGCCUCUCCUUUCAUUAUUUUUGACAGCUCAUCUCAUUUGUACGCAGUUUCCCAGCGCUGAACCACACCGGGUUCGUUUGCCUCGCGCUCUGCUGUGAGAACAGUAAUUGCACUGCAGUCCCUAUUGAAGGACCUCCAAACAAGCCCAGAGCGACAGCUUUCCCGGGGGGUUUUGGACAAGUUUCUCCAGGCAUCAUCAUUUGUGUCUGAGGACGUUAUCUCUGCAUCUCUCUCCGCCUGUCGGCGCUGACAGGGCACCCUCAGAUCCGGGCGCGGGAGCUGAAGCCUGAUGCUGUCAUUCCCCACCUGACAUUUGCUGCUCCUCUCAUCCCAGCUAACUGCUCCCCACCAUCACCACGGCUGGGGGCCUUCCCUGCGGGCAGGCAGAUGCCUUGCUUUGCCCUGCUCACACGUUCCGUGGACAGAAGGAGAUAUUUGGUGCCUCGGUGCACGGCACGUCUCCAUAUCUCAUUUCAGCUUGAGGCAGAGAGGUGCUGUGAGAUGCUGCUCUUGCUCCAGCACCUCCUGGAGCGCAGCUCUCCUGCAAGACUGGAGUGAGCAGGUCUUGCUGACACGUGGGCUCCAUCCUAGAACCACCCGUGGGGCACGAGGGCAGCCCAAUCAGCAAGGCAAAGCACACCUGGAGCCUCUGUGUUCCCAGUUAGCUGCUACAGCUGGGGUCUGAGAGAUGACCUCGUCUGUAUGACCGGCAACACCUGCCCAGCAGUAACCAGGACAGCCCAAUACAGAGCACAAAUGAGUAGCAUGAAGUGGGAGUUACUGCUGCCCACCCCUGGGAGCAGAUGCUGUUGGUUCUGAGGCUGCAGCUCAGCAGCUGCUGGCUGCCUGAGAUGCUCCCCGAAUUCAGACCUCAUUCUGCACCCCACAAAAGCAGCAAAGUGCAAAGCCCUCAUCUCACAGCGCUGUGGGGAUUCAUUGCAAGGAUUGACACGCUGUGAUGCAGAGCAAGCCUACCUUUCAUGCUUAAUUUUGUAGAGAAAAACGCACUGGCAGCACCAGGAAGGUGUUUAAUUGCGCCCCGUGACUGCAAGUUUUAUAACCCCAAAUCGGGAUGUAGUGUAUUUAAUUCAAUUAAGUGCUAUAAACCUCCCGUUAUCCCCAUCAGAUGUUAACGAACCCUGGAACGCACAGCCUGCUUGAUUUGCAGCUCCUGCAGCACCGAGCUGCCGUCAUUUAUACGUUUCUCAGCUGUUUCCAAACAGAACAGAUUUUUAUUACUCUUUGGCCACCUGCCCAGAAUCGGUUACAAUUUGGGGAGGGGGGGGGAAUGAGAAGACAGAAAUUCCUCUUUCUCUUCUUCUCCCCUUUGCCACAAAGGGAUUCUGAAAGGUGUAGAAACUGAACCAAGCACCAAAGCAAACCAAACGGGGGUGAGCUGCUGGGGGGGGGGGGGCCUAUGAACCGACACCAUCGGUCUCCCCCAGGGGCGGCGGUGUUGCGUCCGAAGGCACCGGGAGCCGCGUGUCCCCCCCCCACCAGGGAGCAGCAGGGCUGGAGAUGGGCAGGAGUGCUGCAGGAAUACGGCAGGGGAUGCAGCGAAGGACAAACCCUAUAGAAAGCCGAGUGGCGUCCGGGACCUUGGAGAAAUCUCCCGAUCCUUAGUGCGGAGGAACGCGGCCCCGGUGAGCGGAGCGGCUGCGCAGGGAGAGCCGGCUGGGCUUCGGGGCUGUGCUGCUCCUCCAAAGCACAGCGCUUUGCUCGCACUGCCUGAAGACACCGCCGUCCUCAUCGUCUAACGUGGUUAUUUCCGGCUUUUUUUAUUUUUUCCCUGGGUGAUGUUUGGAGUCCAGCCUGCUCCAUCUCCAGGCCGAGCGUUGUCACGCAAUGCGUUGGCAGAGCAGAGCUGCCAGAGGAGGAUCAGGGCUGGAGGGAGAAGAUGCAAAAGUUGGAAGAUGAUUUCCUAUGCGAGCUCUUUGCUUUCUUUUUGUUUUCAGCCUCCCCGAGGCUUUUCAGCUCGCAAAUCUGUGUGCUCUGCUGGCAGCCGUGCUGACCGGCGCUGUCUCAUCAAUGCUGCACGUUGCACUGCAUCCUGCUGACAGCAGUCGUCCCAUUGCAGCCUACUUUGGGGACAUCUCACCCACAGCAGCUGAGUGUGCUGGACGGGAACGUCGAGGACUGCUGGGAACAGAUGGGUUUUGUCCUGAGGUCUGGGCUAGGAAUAGUGCUGUGGAGUGAAAUGCUUUGGCAGAGCUCAGUGAGGAGCACUGAGGGAUGCGCUGAGCAGAAGAAGGAGCAGCAGGGAGCACAGCUCUGCUGACGCUCUGCCCUUCUCCCCACCUGCUGCUCCCAGGUCUUUCCACACUGUUACCGUGCAGCUUCCCAACCCCUGUGCCCCACUGUGCCAUUUCUGUGUGCCCCGAGCAGAGCCCUCCUGUGGGCACCCUUCAUCAAACAGAAGAGGUUUCAAAGUGCCACUCCUCUGUCCAAGGAUGAAAGAGCCCCACUGCCUGCGCUCUCCCCAGCAA